rnacentral:rRNA from 1 species
CAUAGGUUAAUGAGGCGAACCGGGGGAACUGAAACAUCUAAGUACCCCGAGGAAAAGAAAUCAACCGAGAUUCCCCCAGUAGCGGCGAGCGAACGGGGAGCAGCCCAGAGCCUGAAUCAGUGUGUGUGUUAGUGGAAGCGUCUGGAAAGGCGCGCGAUACAGGGUGACAGCCCCGUACACAAAAAUGCACAUGCUGUGAGCUCGAUGAGUAGGGCGGGACACGUGGUAUCCUGUCUGAAUAUGGGGGGACCAUCCUCCAAGGCUAAAUACUCCUGACUGACCGAUAGUGAACCAGUACCGUGAGGGAAAGGCGAAAAGAACCCCGGCGAGGGGAGUGAAAAAGAACCUGAAACCGUGUACGUACAAGCAGUGGGAGCACGCUUAGGCGUGUGACUGCGUACCUUUUGUAUAAUGGGUCAGCGACUUAUAUUCUGUAGCAAGGUUAACCGAAUAGGGGAGCCGAAGGGAAACCGAGUCUUAACUGGGCGUUAAGUUGCAGGGUAUAGACCCGAAACCCGGUGAUCUAGCCAUGGGCAGGUUGAAGGUUGGGUAACACUAACUGGAGGACCGAACCGACUAAUGUUGAAAAAUUAGCGGAUGACUUGUGGCUGGGGGUGAAAGGCCAAUCAAACCGGGAGAUAGCUGGUUCUCCCCGAAAGCUAUUUAGGUAGCGCCUCGUGAAUUCAUCUCCGGGGGUAGAGCACUGUUUCGGCAAGGGGGUCAUCCCGACUUACCAACCCGAUGCAAACUGCGAAUACCGGAGAAUGUUAUCACGGGAGACACACGGCGGGUGCUAACGUCCGUCGUGAAGAGGGAAACAACCCAGACCGCCAGCUAAGGUCCCAAAGUCAUGGUUAAGUGGGAAACGAUGUGGGAAGGCCCAGACAGCCAGGAUGUUGGCUUAGAAGCAGCCAUCAUUUAAAGAAAGCGUAAUAGCUCACUGGUCGAGUCGGCCUGCGCGGAAGAUGUAACGGGGCUAAACCAUGCACCGAAGCUGCGGCAGCGACGCUUAUGCGUUGUUGGGUAGGGGAGCGUUCUGUAAGCCUGUGAAGGUGUGCUGUGAGGCAUGCUGGAGGUAUCAGAAGUGCGAAUGCUGACAUAAGUAACGAUAAAGCGGGUGAAAAGCCCGCUCGCCGGAAGACCAAGGGUUCCUGUCCAACGUUAAUCGGGGCAGGGUGAGUCGACCCCUAAGGCGAGGCCGAAAGGCGUAGUCGAUGGGAAACAGGUUAAUAUUCCUGUACUUGGUGUUACUGCGAAGGGGGGACGGAGAAGGCUAUGUUGGCCGGGCGACGGUUGUCCCGGUUUAAGCGUGUAGGCUGGUUUUCCAGGCAAAUCCGGAAAAUCAAGGCUGAGGCGUGAUGACGAGGCACUACGGUGCUGAAGCAACAAAUGCCCUGCUUCCAGGAAAAGCCUCUAAGCAUCAGGUAACAUCAAAUCGUACCCCAAACCGACACAGGUGGUCAGGUAGAGAAUACCAAGGCGCUUGAGAGAACUCGGGUGAAGGAACUAGGCAAAAUGGUGCCGUAACUUCGGGAGAAGGCACGCU